GGAGUGAGUCGAACGGUCGCUGGAGGCGGGGUAGCCCGCCUCUGGAGGAAAGUCCGGGCUCCACAGGACACGGUGGUGGGUAACGCCCACCGUUCGCAAGAACAGGGACAGUGCCACAGAAAACAAACCGCCGAUGGCCUCACGGCACAGGCAAGGGUGAAAAGGUGCGGUAAGAGCGCACCGCGAUCCUGGCGACAGGGUCGGCACGGUAAACCCCACCGGGAGCAAGACCAAGCAGGACGCAAUGCGGGGCGUUUCGGCGCCACGCAUCGGGAGCGGUUCGUUCCCGUAGGACGUCCGGGUAGGUCGCAUCGAGGCGUCAGGCAACUGCCGCCCCAGAGAAAUGGCCGUUCUCGACAGAACCCGGCUUACAGACUCACUCCGGAU
rnacentral:RNase_P_RNA from 2 species